CUUGGUGAAUUUGCAUGUGAUAAAUGUAAUAUAUAGCCCGUGAUAAUAAAAAAAAUUAAAAAAAGAGAAAAAUCUAAUGAAGCAUGUAUGGUCUGAAGUAUAUCUGUAUUGACAUACAUAUUGAAUUAAGUGUCUCGUUAGGCUUUCUAUCUCUGAAGGGUAUAUGCUCCCCUUACCCUUCGGGUUAUCUGUUUCCUCCUCCCCUAUCUGGUCUAAAAAAAUGUAAGAGGACCACUCACAGUGAAUGACAGUGUGCCCUCUGAUGAGAACGAUAUCGCACUAUCUGUUGGGGUCAUCCGUG
rnacentral:lncRNA from 1 species